UGGGGAAUCUUGCACAAUGGAGGAAACUCUGAUGCAGCGACGCCGCGUGAGCGAAGAAGCCUUUCGGGGUGUAAAGCUCUUACGCCAGGGACGAUAAUGACGGUACCUGGAGAAGCAGCUGCGGCUAACUACGUGCCAGCAGCCGCGGUAAUACGUAGGCAGCAAGCGUUGUUCGGAAUUACUGGGCGUAAAGGGUGCGUAGGCGGCGCUCUAAGUUUGGUGUGAAAUCUCCCGGCUUAACUGGGAGGGUGCACUGAAAACUGGGGCGCUCGAGUAUGGGAGAGGACAGCGGAAUUCCUGGUGUAGCGGUGAAAUGCGUAGAGAUCAGGAGGAACACCUGCGGUGCAGACGGCUUUCUGGACCAUCACUGACGCUGAGGCACGAAAGCGUGGGUAGCAAACA
rnacentral:rRNA from 1 species